rnacentral:rRNA from 1 species
UACGUCGGGGGCUAGCGUUGUCCGGAAUCAUUGGGCGUAAAGAGCGUGUAGGCGGCUCGGUAAGUCCGCUGUGAAAGUCCAGGGCUCAACCCUGGAAUGCCAGUGGAAACUGUCGAGCUAGAGUCCGGAAGAGGCGAGUGGAAUUCCUGGUGUAGCGGUGAAAUGCGCAGAUAUCAGGAGGAACACCAAUGGCGAAGGCAGCUCGCUGGGACGGUACUGACGCUGAGACGCGAAAGCGUGGGGAGCAAACAGG